AAGAAAAGGUCUGAAGGAAAUCAUUAAGAGAGUGUCUAUGUGUUAGCUACUUUUCCACAGCUGUGAUCGAAUACUCUGACAGAAAGCAAGUUAAGGAUAAAGGUUGGGCUUACAGUUCCAGAGUGAUACAGUCCACCAUGCUGGGGAAGGUACAGGAGCAGGAGCAUGAGUGAUCACAUAUUAUCUGCAUACAGGAAGAAGAGCGAGAGAGAGAACAGGAAGUGGAAGCAGGCCACAAAACCUCAAAGCCCGCCCUUCAGUGAUAUACUUCUUCAUUGAUAUUCCAUUUCCUAAAGAUUCAAUAACUUUCCUAAACCAGCAACUGAGGAUCAAAUUUUCAAAUGCAUGAGCCAGUGGGGAACGUUUCUCCCUCAAACCACAAGUCACAAUGGCCGUGAUGGCUAAUCUUCAUUGUCAGCUUGACUAGAAUCACCAUGGAAACACACCUCCAGGGUGUCUGUGGAGGAUUUUCUAGUGGGAAGAUUCAGCCUAAAUAUUGCUGACUGCAGAUGCAAGGUGACCAAACGCCUCCCUUCCUGAUGCUAUGGCUUCCCUGCCGCGGUGGACCAUAUUUCCUCAAACUGUAAGCAAAAAUGAACCUUUCCCAGCUUGAGUAACUUCUCUCAGGUAUUUGGUCACAGCAAUAAACCGAGUAAUUAGUAUAAUGACUAUGAGGAUUUUGAAGUGGAUUUGAGGCCCCAAAAGAUGUAUCUUCAGCC